GUUUCCUUAACAUACAAUACAAGACCACUCUCCACUUCACUCCACUACAGGGAGAUACAACAAUGAUGUUGAGAACAACAGGAAGUGUGUUGGUGGUCUUCUGGUCUCUAACAGGUAUGAUCUCAUUGUUAUAUUUUGGUUUCCCUUUUCAUCUGUCUACAGAAACAUUAACAAGAAUAUCAGAUUUCUUUACUGACAGCUGAAUCAUCCAAUUUUGAGUGAUAUGAGAACUUCUGGUUUUCAGUGACUUUAUUCAGUCAUUAAUAAUGACAUUUAAUAAUUGUAUCAUAUAUGCAUAGGCAAAUUUGCU
ensembl:lncRNA